rnacentral:rRNA from 1 species
CCUACGGGUGGCUGCAGUGAGGAAUAUUGGUCAAUGGGCGCGAGCCUGAACCAGCAAAGUAGCGUGAAGGAUGACUGCCCUACGGGUUGUAAAUUUCUUUUAUAAAGGAAUAGAGUGAGGCACGUGUGCCUUUUUGUAUGUACUUUAUGAAUAAGGAUCGGCUAACUACGUGCCAGCAGCCGCGGUAAUACGGAGGAUCCGAGCGUUAUCCGGAUUUAUUGGGUGUAAAGGGAGUGUAGAUGGGAUGUUAAGUCAGUUGUGAAAGUCUUGGGCUCAACCGUUAAACUGCAUUUGAGACUGGAGUUCUUGAGUACAGUUGAGGCAGGCGGAAUUCCUGGUGUAGCGGUGAAAUGCGUAGAUAUUAGGAGGAACACCGGUUGCGAAGGCAGUCUACUAAACAGCCACUGACACUGAUGCGCGAAAGCGUGGGUAUCAAACAGGAUUAGAUACCCGAGUAGUC